CAGAUAAUUAGAAUCACAUAAAGAGUGAUCUCUAAUUGGAUCCAGAUGUGAAGGAGUCAGCAGACAUCCACUAAAGGGAAACUGUACAAAAUAACAAAGAAACAAAUGGAAUUGCAAUGCGGAAGUUUAUGAAGAAUGAUGGGCUGAAUGAGUAUAAAGCCUUUCAGGCAGCUUUUAGUGACACACUUGAAGAAAUUUAUUGUUUCGUUGAGCAUUAUUACAGAUCAGCAUUGUCAAGAACCAAUGGUGUUCCCUGAAGAAAGAAUACAACAUGGGACACAGGACUCUCAGAAAGAAAAAUACUGACUCUGCAAAACCAAAUACAUCUGGAAUCCGAAUCCUCUUGCAAAACUCUGAGCAGUGAUAUCCAACCUUUCUGGCACCCAGAGACCACCGGACCUCCUUUUCUACAAUCAAGCCAAACCAGUUCCUGUUGUUGGUGCCAAGAUAGACUACAGCUGGAAAUUCCCCAAAUGACCAACAGAUCACCUGGUGCCAACUGACUGACCACCAGGAAGAGCGACUAUUGACUUUGGGCUUAAAAGUCAUCUAAUCCACACUGUUUCUCACUCCCCUGACUACCCUCCUCUGCCCUGAGGUUUUUUUGCCUUUAUAAUCUCCUAUUCACUGACCCUGCCUGAGAGCAUGAUUUCUUUUUACACCAGGGGCUGCAUCUCCCCAAUCUGCAAAUUGUUUCUUAUGGAAAAUGAAGCUUUCUCUUUUCCUUCCACAGAUCUCAUGGUCUUUUGUUACAAGGAACCUGUCUCAAGACAGUCAUACUCUGUUAAUUCACUAUAACACUAAGAACCUCAAUGGAGUUCAGGUCUAUGAGAAUGAUUCAUUCAUAACAUCUAUCACCUUAAAAUUUAUUGACUAGGGCCUAAGGCACAACUGCCUUGCCCUGGGCUGAAUUCUACCCUAGGGCAGAGUUUUCGGUGGCCUCGGUGUACUCUUAGUAGUAUUUCUACUAAAAAGCCAACAUAGAGGGCAUAGACUCCAAGCCUUAGAGACUCAAACAAGAAACAACAUUUGACCAUUCCAUGCCCUCCAAAUCUAUUGGAUGCCACCAAACAAAGGCAAAAAAAAAAGCAGAUUUCAUAACACGAAAAACAAUAUAUUCUCUAUCUUUCAGCAUUGUGAGGGAAGGUGUCUGGUCUGGAAUCAUUUCUCAGUAUAAUGCACACCCCAAAGCAGCUUAACACAGCGGUAAGCCUAGAUGAAAGCAUUCAUGUCAAUUACAUGGAAAUGUUCUUUCACCAAGAUUGAGAAGCCACACUUGGGACAUUCAGUCCUCUAGACAAAAUGUAUUUGAAAUGGAAACUGAGAAAGCAAAGAGAAGCAUUUGUUCCUUUCCAGGUGAGAGGCAAGAGAAAGUCUUGUGUAAGAUAGCUGCUAGAAAUCCAGGCUGUUCUCUUCAGAACUCUCGUUCUCAGAUUUGCUAGGGUCUUUCCUUUGGUAGAAAGAGCUGAUUGCACUUCUAAAGGCAGCUUGACCUUUGCCCCAUCCCACUAGCUGAAUGAAACCAAGAAAGACUGCUUGAAUGCUUACACCCCUAAAGCGGAUUUGUAUUUAUAAAGUAGCCAAAGCUGUACUUGGCAAUGAUUUCACAAACAGAGAGACAAAUUCACAGGAGUGAGAAUAACUCUCUCACAAACUUUACCAUACUUUACACUUUGUUGGGAAGUCAGCAGAGAACUUCACACUUCAUUGAAAAUCCAUUAAACAAUUACCAGGUCAUUAGCACAGACUUUGAAGUACUAGCUUUCAAACUCCCUUACUAAAGAAAGCUCUUUGCUAGACCUUCAGCUGCCUUUGCAAGUGUAGUCCUAAGGAGCUUUAACAGAUAACCAAAACAGACAAACAUUAAAAAAAAAAAAAAAAGUGUACUCACUGAAAAAUAAAACAAAGCAUCAUGCAUGAAUCAUUUAAUGAAUCAAUUAUAUAACAGUAUAUGUUACAUAAUACUGUCAUAUGUAUUACUGUCUCUCAAUUGUAUCUGGAUAAGUAAAGUAGAUAAUCCGUAAAUGUUGGUUGAUUCAGGAAUAUGUUUCCCUAGACAAUCACAAACAACUACUGAGUGACUACCAAGGCUUUACUGCUUUUGUGCCAACCACCCUCAUUUGUAUCUCUAGCCCAGAUCUCUUCCUUGAACACCAAACUAGCAUUUUCUACUAUUCACUUGGCAUCUCAUCUGGAUGUCUACUAAACCUCUCAAACACAAUAUGCUCAAAACUGAACUCUUGAUCUUUACCGAAACCUGCUCUCCACCUCAGGUACUGGCAAUUCCAUUCUUCCAAUAGCUGAAAUCAGUGUUUUUUUUUUCUUUUCGUCUUUACUGAAGUAUAAAAGACAGAUGAUAAACUGCAC
rnacentral:lncRNA from 10 species